UGGGGUAUAUUGGACAAUGGGCGAAAGCCUGAUCCAGCCAUGCCGCGUGUGUGAAGAAGGUCUUCGGAUUGUAAAGCACUUUAAGUUGGGAGGAAGGGCAGUAAGCGAAUACCUUGCUGUUUUGACGUUACCGACAGAAUAAGCACCGGCUAACUCUGUGCCAGCAGCCGCGGUAAUACAGAGGGUGCAAGCGUUAAUCGGAAUUACUGGGCGUAAAGCGCGCGUAGGUGGUUCGUUAAGUUGAAUGUGAAAGCCCCGGGCUCAACCUGGGAACUGCAUCCAAAACUGGCGAGCUAGAGUAGGGCAGAGGGUGGUGGAAUUUCCUGUGUAGCGGUGAAAUGCGUAGAUAUAGAAAGGAACACCAGUGGCGAAGGCGACCACCUGGGCUCAUACUGACACUGAGGUGCGAAAGCGUGUGGAGCAAACAGG
rnacentral:rRNA from 1 species